CUGCAACUGGGGAAGGUUUUCUGGUUUAAGAUUCUUCCUUUGUAGAGUUUUCUCUGCGUGGUUCAAUCUUUAGAGCUAGCCUUCUGUGGAAAUCUCAGCUGUGCAGUAAAGGAACCUAUGGCACUCUGUGGGAUCCUGAGAGAGCAGCAUGUUAUCUUCUUGUACUGAAAGACCAUGCUGAACAUGCUUGGUAGUGAUUUUACCAAACUAAACUAUAUGAGACUAGCUUACAUCACAGGUGUUCUCUUCAGAUGGAGUAAUUUAUCUGUUACAUUACAUUUACAUUGUAAAUAUGUUGCAUUAAUGCUGAGAUCAUGAAGAUUUAGAGAAACUUGAUGUUUAGCCAUGUUUGCAGAGUACAGGUAAGCUUGAAGCUCUCAAAGAAGGCACAUUGUAAUGACCUCAUAAAUGCAAUUUAAACACGAUCCUAAUAAUUUAUGAGGUCUGCUCUGGAAGUAAUGCCUCCUAUUUCAUUAUGUUGGCCCACAGAAUCAGAGGUGAAUGUUAAUGGUAUGAUGGUAGAAGUUGAACCUUCCAAUCAAUAUGCUGUUGCAUAUUCUUACCAUGUGACAAAUGGCAGCAGGGGUGCAGUCUGUCCAAAGGGCACCUGACAUGGAAGUGCGAAUGAAGCAAAGGUGUGUCAUUGAAUUCCUCCAAAUGGAAAAAAUGACAUUAAAUGAAGCUUGCUGAAUGUUCAUGGACAUCAAACAGUGGAUGUGAGCACAGUGAGCUGGUGUGUGGUGUGUUUCAGCAAUGGUGACAGUGAUGUGAAAGACAAGCCAUGUUCCAGACAGCUAUGCACAGCUGUCACACCAUGAAAUGAAGAAAGUAUCAAUCACCUUAUCUGCGCAAACUGGCAGAUUGCCACCAGGGAACUGUGUACAGAGCUGAGUAUUUGCUUUGAUGCAUUGGAAAAGAUGGUGGUAAUGUUGGAAUAUCACAAAGUUUGUGCUAGGUGGGUCCCAAAAAUGCUCACACAAGAAGAGAAAAAACAUCUUUACGCAACUUUGUCAGGACCUAUUGAAUAUGAGAAAGAAAGGGACAGUUUCCUGGGUCACAUCGUUACUGGUGAUGUUGAUGGUGAUUACACCGCUACAAGCUGGAGUUAAAACAGUGGUGCAUUGAGUGACCACAUUUGAAUUCCUUGCUGAAGAAAAAGUUCAAGACACAAUCCUCAGUAAGGGUGAUCCUUCUGGAUUUCCUGGAACUCAGACAAACCAUUAAUUCUGACU
rnacentral:lncRNA from 1 species